UUUCCAGUAAUUAGUUUCUGUUGUUUGGUUACAGGCCAUCAAUUGUUCUUUAAUAAUACCAAUCGUUAGCAUGCAGUAGUCAGUGGGCUCUCAAAGGCUUCUGGGGCACCACCACUUACCACCACUACACAUUCCAUUCCCAUGAGGACAUCCUGCCUCCAGCUCCGCGUUAACCCUCUCCUAGGACGCAGUCCUCCUGCCCGGCUGCGUGUUUUGGGGUAAACACCUCUCAUCACUCGUGGCUAGAAGGCAGCAAUUAGGGCUCAGCCCAUGGGACCUUGGAUCAGGAGAUGCCUUGGGAGAGCUGCCCACGUGUCCCAGAGUGGUCAGACGCCAUCGGGAUUGGGCAGGGGGAAGAGGUAAGGACUUGCAGACCUCAAAGGAUGCGCAGCUCCCAAGUUACCGGAGAAGGCUGCAUUUCAUCACUGCUCUCCCACAGGAUGAAGACGGCACACACAGCAGGACGUGGCUUGCCAAGGGCUUGGGCCACUGGGUCCUGCAGACACCUUAUUUCUUCUUCUCUAGUGAAGACAAACCUCUCAGCAAAGCCCAUCUCAUGUGCUGAUGCUAAAACAUUCAUCCAUGCAGUGCUUUGCGAAGAGUCUGCCUGCGGGUCGCCUCAGUCCCAGCCUCAGCAGACACCUCCUGUAAACCAUUGCAUGAUCUUCAAAGAGGCCUACAAGGGUCCCAAGGAACACGGGCAUUUUAGUAGCAAUAUCUUCUUCUUUGACAGUGACAGGAGAGUCAGGUCUCGCAGAACACCAACACCAGGGGCUAACAGAGACUCACUGUCCCAGUUCUCCCCAUCUGCCUUGAUGAACCUUGUAACGAGCUUUCCAAGUGGCUGGGCUUGGCCCAGCUGCUGGAGUCAUAGAGAAAAGCUGGGUGCAUCUUUGGACUGUGUGCAUGGUAUAUAGCCAGAAGAGGAGGUUUUUUGGCAAAACCUGAGACAAAUCAGACAAUCCCUUUCUGAGACAUAGGUCUUAGGGAAAAUAAGUGUAAUUCAGAGUGUUUGAAGCAUCUCCUAAUGCUUUUUCAUGUCAUGUCUCAAAUAUGGCUUGGCCUAGAAACUUCAGAUUUGUUUAAUUCAAGAGCCCUUGACGUAAUCUAGCACAGAUGAGGGCUUCUGAGAGGCUGCAGUGCUUAUUUGGAGCUAUUCUCCUCCGAAUUACGAAUAUAUUAGUGUUCUAUCAGCAGCUGUGACAGUGAAAAGUUAAGACAGGCUUUCUAGGCUUUGCCAAAGCAUCCUCAGAGCCCUUUUCUCCUCCCUCAGAUUGGUUUCACCCAUCAGGACAAGGACUGCUUGGAUGCCCUACAAACCAAAGCCAGCCCAGGACGCCCACCAGCAGGAUCUGUGCUCUCCUGCCAUGCCCGUGCCACCCUGCAGCCGGUGUCCAAAGGGCAUGCUCUGCUUCCCAGCCUCACCCAAGUCAAACUUCAGCCAAGACCUAAAUAAAAUUUAAAAGUGUCAGACAACUCCUGGCAGCACUUCAGCGUAGGGAACAAGGAGCGAGCCAGCAUGAAGUUUGGGAAGAGCGCUAUGUGCGAGUAAUAAAAGCGAAUAACUACUGAAAUUCAUUUCCUUUCUGAUGGCCGGGGUGACUGGGAGAGGGUGGAUUUUUUCAUAAUUAUCAGAGCUAGGGAGAGUUGUUGCGGACGGGGUGUUAAUUAGAACCGAUAUACUUGGGUAUAUUGCAUUUCAU